UACGUAGGGCGCAAGCGUUGUCCGGAAUUAUUGGGCGUAAAGAGCUCGUAGGCGGCCAGUUGCGUCCGCUGUGAAAUCCCGGGGCUUAACCCCGGGCGUGCAGUGGAUACGGGCUGGCUAGAGGCAGGCAGGGGAGAACGGAAUUCCCGGUGUAGCGGUGAAAUGCGCAGAUAUCGGGAGGAACACCGGUGGCGAAGGCGGUUCUCUGGGCCUGUACUGACGCUCAUGCACGAAAGCGUGGGGAGCAAACAGG
rnacentral:rRNA from 1 species